UUGAACCGACAUACAAAGGUGUUUCNGCAUCAGUCGACAUCGUCUCAUACACAUGAGCUUUGGCAAAAUUUUCUGCGCCAACAUUGCGGAUCAUGUCCUCCAAUUUGUCUUCAUCCGGUCGAUCUUCUUCCAUGGUGGAAUCAAUAACAUUUUCAGUUUGCGAGUCAGUCGGAAAGUACAUUUCUUCGCCGUGCCAUAUCCAUGUUGUAUAACAUCUUAGGAAACCAUCACAGAUAAGAUGUUCUCUAAUUUGGGUUGCGUUCAACUUUCUCCCAUUCAAACAGUUUACACAAGGACAUCUAAACUUCACUUCAUCGUCACUUC
rnacentral:lncRNA from 1 species